UGUAAAAUUCACACUGAAAGUAACUCCUGCUGAAAACAAUUCGUGCAGGUCAUAAAACCGGACUCUGUUUUUUAAUAGUUAAUUAAAGUGUUUAUCGAUACAAUUUCGUUAUUUCGAUCGAUAAUUACGUUGUUAGUUUUUAUUAGUCUUAUUAGUUUUAAUCGAAAUAAUUAUCGUACGAUUCCCCAUUUCAACUCGCCAUGUUUUGACUGCGAACAAACAGCUGAUAGCGGUGUGUCUACAUUUUUAAAAGAAGCAUGGCCUGCAAGACGUCGAUAGUGGAAAUUUCAGCUCUACUAACGUAUGACAGAUUAUAAAGGUAUGUUUCAAUACAGGAUAUGUCGUAUUGACUUUUUCUUUUCAAAGUAUUUGCACUUUUCAAUCUAAUCCGAGAUUCCUCUGACUCUUACCUCCGCUUUUGAAGUACAUCACAAUAUAAAAGCGGGCGUUAGAGUCAGCGGAAUCUCGGAAUGUUAUCUGUCCAGUGUAUUUUCACGGUAGCUGCAACACUGUAGCUCUCCGGGAAAAAAAUAUUGACAGACCGGAGAGCUACAGGGCCACCCAUUGAAAAAAUUGUACAUGUAUAUUUAUUGCGCAGAAAAACGUGCGCUAGUUUUGGACUGAUUUACCUUAUUUAUACGCAAAUUCUGUGAAAACAUUAGUACCAUUAAAUUCUUCAUGCAAUUUACUACUGAUAUCGACUCUUUAUUUGCCUCAGACUUUCUCCGAAACACGCUACCGACCUCGGAAAAUCAAGUAUGUUGAAUUUACAUCGAGAUCGAGAGUCGCCAUUUUUACAUGUAAACAAAAUGGACCACAUGAAUUUACGGGACUGGUGAUGGUGUUUAAAAGACUAUCCGAGGCAAGUGAAGAGAGGAUAUCAGUAGUAAAUUGCAUGAAGAAUUUAAAAUUAAAAGCAGUGGGAGACUUAAGCUUAAAGCAGACUCUUGUUACCACAUGGCUUCUACCUGUUGAUUCUUGUGGUUUCAGCUCUUGAGGUUAACCUGUCACCUCUACCCACAUACAUAUUCCCUGUGUUCUACAGACUAUCUACCGGUAAUUCAAAUUAAAUCGGAUAAUGCAUGAACAAUAAUGGAACUUUAAGAAAGCAUCAUGUCCUAUUGUGGUUUGUUCAUGUUUGAUAAGAAAUUAUGAAAAACAAAAUUAAGGCUGUUUAAAGAAAUAUAAUUGUUGUGAAAAUUUGUUUUUCAAUAAAAGUAUGCAAUUAUA